rnacentral:rRNA from 1 species
GACGAACGCUGGCGGCGUGCUUAACACAUGCAAGUCGAACGGAAAGGCCCUGCUUUUGUGGGGUGCUCGAGUGGCGAACGGGUGAGUAACACGUGAGUAACCUGCCCUUGACUUUGGGAUAACUUCAGGAAACUGGGGCUAAUACCGGAUAGGAGCUCCUGCUGCAUGGUGGGGGUUGGAAAGUUUCGGCGGUUGGGGAUGGACUCGCGGCUUAUCAGCUUGUUGGUGGGGUAGUGGCUUACCAAGGCUUUGACGGGUAGCCGGCCUGAGAGGGUGACCGGCGAGUGGGAGAGGGGGGGGCGACCCAGGAUGGGAGGGGGGGCGGCGGCGGUGAAGAUGCCACAGGGGGCGGCGGCCGGGGGGAGCGUGGGGGCGGGCGGGAGGGCGGCUGUGGGGUCAUACACGGUUGUCCCAGGUGACGAGGGGGGAGGGGCAGUGAGGGAGAAAGAACACCGGGGGAACUACCCGCAAGCCGGGGCCGUAAUAAACGGAAGGGCACUCGCUUGACC